UACGUAGGGUGCAAGCGUUAAUCGGAAUUACUGGGCGUAAAGCGUGCGCAGGCGGUUGUGCAAGACCGAUGUGAAAGCCCCGGGCUUAACCUGGGAAUUGCGAUGGAGACUGCAAGGCUUGAAUCUGGCAGAGGGGGGUAGAAUUCCACGUGUAGCAGUGAAAUGCGUAGAGAUGUGGAGGAACACCGAUGGCGAAGGCAGCCCCCUGGGUCAAGAUUGACGCUCAUGCACGAAAGCGUGGGGAGCAAACAGG
rnacentral:rRNA from 1 species